rnacentral:rRNA from 1 species
UACGGGGGGGGUAAGCGUUGUUCGGAAUUACUGGGCGUAAAGGGCUCGUAGGCGGCCAACUAAGUCAUACGUGAAAUCCCUCAGCUUAACUGGGGAACUGCGUGUGAUACUGGAUGGCUUGGAUUUGGGAGAGGGAUGCGGAAUUCCAGGUGUAGCGGUGAAAUGCGUAGAUAUCGGGAGGAACACCGGUGGCGAAGGCGGCCUUCUGGACGGAUACUGACGCUGAUACGCGAAAGCGUGGGGAGCAAACAGG